AUUGAACGCUGGCGGCAUGCUUUACACAUGCAAGUCGAACGGCAGCGCAGGCUUCGGCCUGGCGGCGAGUGGCGAACGGGUGAGUAAUACAUCGGAACGUGCCCAGUAGUGGGGGAUAGCUCGGCGAAAGCCGGAUUAAUACCGCAUACGACCUGAGGGUGAAAGCGGGGGAUCUUCGGACCUCGCGCUAUUGGAGCGGCCGAUGGCAGAUUAGCUAGUUGGUGGGGUAAAGGCCUACCAAGGCGACGAUCUGUAGCUGGUCUGAGAGGACGACCAGCCACACUGGGACUGAGACACGGCCCAGACUCCUACGGGAGGCAGCAGUGGGAAAUUUUGGACAAUGGGCGAAAGCCUGAUCCAGCAAUGCCGCGUGUGUGAUGAAGGCCUUCGGGUUGUAAAGCACUUUUGGCGGGAACGAAAAGGACUGUGCCAAUACCACGGUUCGAUGACGGUACCCGCAGAAUAAGCACCGGCUAACUACGUG
rnacentral:rRNA from 1 species